AAAUUCAAUAUGAUGAAAAAUUCCGGAUGUUAAACACAUUAUACUCCGAGAGCGCAAAACCGUGUGGAGAUUUCCGUUGCCUUCCUUCUGAUUGUCUAUC
rnacentral:snoRNA from 1 species